UACGUAGGGUGCGAGCGUUAAUCGGAAUUACUGGGCGUAAAGCGUGCGCAGGCGGUUGUGCAAGACAGAUGUGAAAUCUCCGGGCUUAACCUGGGAAUGGCAUUGGUGACUGCACGGCUAGAGUGUGUCAGAGGGGGGUAGAAUUCCACGUGUAGCAGUGAAAUGCGUAGAGAUGUGGAGGAAUACCGAUGGCGAAGGCAGCCCCCUGGGAUAACACUGACGCUCAUGCACGAAAGCGUGGGGAGCAAACAGG
rnacentral:rRNA from 1 species